rnacentral:lncRNA from 1 species
CAUGCUCUUCCAUAUCUGGUUCUGAAAAUUUCUAGAGGUUUCCACAAUAGUGUUGUCUUCGUGUUUAAUUGAUAUAAAAAACUACAUUCACAAAUAUGCAAUUCAGUGUACAUGUACCAUACAAUAGCUGAGUACACACUUAAUGAAAUGAUUGCCAUAAUCAUAUGUUAUGCUGCUCCUAAUGCGAAUGUUGCUGCUACAGUUUGACUUUGUCAAGAAAGACAUCCCUCAGCACAAAUGUUUAGAUCUAUCAUACGUUAGUUCCUUAAAAUGUCCAAGGUCAGGUAUCCCACAAAUAAUAAUUGAUGAGGCCACAAUAAUUUUUGUAAUAAUAAUAGGGGAUCUUCAAAAAAGCAUUGUUAUAUCUUGUAAAGAGAUUUAUACUGAAACAUUAAAGACUAUAAGCAGGUCAAUCCAAUACUUGGGUACCAGUGGAAGACAUUUUGAGCAUAUACUUGAUUAGUUUUUACUUGUCGAUUGGGUUCUGUGUUUUUAAUUUAUUAAUUUGGGGUAUUGUGUUUUGGUGUUUUGUUAUUUACAUGUCAUAAAUAAGGAUCAGUCCUUUGCAUAUAAAAACGUUUUCGUUUCAUUUUUGGGUGAACUACUCGUCCGAUGUUGGUGAAGUUUUUUUCUUUGGAACGUUCGGAAUUGAAUGCUGAACAAGUUUGUAAUUGGAAAGUUUUCCUAUUUGUUAUUGUUUAUG